AUUGAACGCUGGCGGCAUGCCUUACACAUGCAAGUCGAAUGGCAGCACGGGAGCAAUCCUGGUGGCGAGUGGCGAACGGGUGAGUAAAGUAUCGGAACGUGCCCAGUCGUGGGGGAUAACGUAGCGAAAGUUACGCUAACACCGCAUACGAUCUAUGGAUGAAAGCGGGGGAUCGCAAGACCUCGCGCGAUUGGAGCGGCCGAUAUCAGAUUAGGUAGUUGGUGGGGUAAAGGCUCACCAAGCCGACGAUCUGUAGCUGGUCUGAGAGGACGACCAGCCACACUGGGACUGAGACACGGCCCAGACUCCUACGGGAGGCAGCAGUGGGGAAUUUUGGACAAUGGGCGAAAGCCUGAUCCAGCCAUGCCGCGUGCAGGAUGAAGGCCUUCGGGUUGUAAACUGCUUUUGUACGGAACGAAAAGGUUUGGGCUAAUAAGCUGAGCUCAUGACGGUACCGUAAGAAUAAGCACCGGCUAACUACGUGCCAGCCGCCGCAGUAA
rnacentral:rRNA from 1 species